rnacentral:rRNA from 1 species
AGCAAUACGUCAGCGGCAGACGGGUGAGUAACGCGUGGGAACGUACCUUUUGGUUCGGAACAACACAGGGAAACUUGUGCUAAUACCGGAUAAGCCCUUACGGGGAAAGAUUUAUCGCCGAAAGAUCGGCCCGCGUCUGAUUAGCUAGUUGGUGUGGUAACGGCGCACCAAGGCGACGAUCAGUAGCUGGUCUGAGAGGAUGAUCAGCCACAUUGGGACUGAGACACGGCCCAAACUCCUACGGGAGGCAGCAGUGGGGAAUAUUGGACAAUGGGCGCAAGCCUGAUCCAGCCAUGCCGCGUGAGUGAUGAAGGCCCUAGGG